rnacentral:rRNA from 1 species
UACGUAGGUGGCAAGCGUUGUCCGGAUUUACUGGGCGUAAAGGGCGUGCAGGCGGUUUGUUAAGUCUAGGGUGAAAGCUCCCGGCUCAACUGGGAGAGGUCCUUGGAUACUGGCAGACUUGAGGAGGGUAGAGGAGAGUGGAAUUCCCGGUGUAGUGGUGAUAUGCGUAGAUAUCGGGAGGAACACCAGUGGCGAAGGCGGCUCUCUGGGCCAACACUGACGCUCAUGCACGAAAGCGUGGGGAGCAAACAGG